GUGCAGCAGACGAGAAACCUUCGCAAUGCGGGAAACCGCGACGAGGGGACUCCCAGUGCCUACGCUCAGCGUAGGCUGUUCCCGAGCCUAGAAAGCUCGGGGAGUAAGGGCUGGGUAAGACGGGUGCCAGCCGCCGCGGUAAUACCCGCAGCCCGAGUGGUGGCCACUAUUAUUGGGCCUAAAGCGUCCGUAGCCGGCCCGGUAAAUGCCUGGGUAAAUCGUGAGGCCUAACCUCACGAAUUCCGGGUAGACUGCCGGGCUAGGGACCCGGAGGAGGGAGAGGGUACUCCAGGGGUAGGGGUGAAAUCCUGUAAUCCCUGGAGGACCACCGGUGGCGAAGGCGCUCUCCUAGGACGGGUCCGACGGGUGAGGGACGAAAGCCAGGGGAGCGAACCGGAUUA
rnacentral:rRNA from 1 species